ensembl:lncRNA MACORIS macrophage enriched lincRNA repressor of IFN-gamma signaling
ACUCUUUGUUCCCCUCCCCAGGGAAAUCCAGUUACCCACUGGGAGUGAGCUGCCCCCUAACCCCGCAUGACCCUGUUCCCCGGGAGGGGCAGCCUGGGGAGUGACAGGCAUGACCUCGAUGGUGGGCCAGGGGCCUCCUCAGAGGAGCAAAGAGAAGCUUGGUGGAAGAGAAAGCCGCUAGUAUUCAGCGAGAAGAUCACUCAAAUCCUUCACCAGCAUGCUCAGUGAAGAAUGCAUUAAAAAAAUUAGACUUUUUUUCUUCCUGGCAACAAAAUCUUGCCAAAAUAAGUACCAAAAUAAGUGUUCCAAUGGUUUUAUUUGGGGAAAGCCAACGCUUUCCCCAAAAAGACUUUUUCUUGUUUCUCAUUUGGCUGCUACAAAUAAAGCUGCAAUGAACAUACAUGUACA